UACGUAGGUGGCGAGCGUUGUCCGGAAUUACUGGGUGUAAAGGGCGUGUAGGCGGGAUUGCAAGUCAGAUGUGAAAUUCCAGGGCUUAACUUUGGAGCUGCAUCUGAAACUGUGAUUCUUGAGUGCUGGAGAGGAUAGUGGAAUUCCUAGUGUAGCGGUGAAAUGCGUAGAUAUUAGGAGGAACACCAGUGGCGAAGGCGGCUAUCUGGACAGUAACUGACGCUGAGGCGCGAAAGCGUGGGGAGCAAAC
rnacentral:rRNA from 1 species